CAGUGUUUUACAUGAAAAAGCCUUCAGAUAACAAACGAUUAGUAGUAAAGUAUAGAAGUAAAAGAUUUACUUUGCAAAUAUAGGAAGAGUAACACGCUGAGAAAUGGGAGCGGACUGAUGUGGGACAGCAAGCCAUCAAACUGGGUCACAGAGACAGAAGUACCUCCAUCACUAGCUCCUGCAGCAGAUGGUGAAGCUCACCAAAUGGAGGGAAUCUUUAAAUGAUUUCCUGAACCCAGACAUGAAGAUAUGAUUUUGUAGAAAUAAACAAACCUGAUCUCUCAACGUCAUUCAUGUCUUCUAUCCUUUGACUGUAAAUGAGAUUUACAGUCAAUGUGUCCAUGUAGCAAUGAGGCUAAAAACUUUUUUUGUACCUCCUCCCAGAUACAGUGGAAGGAAUUAAGUUUAUGAUAAAAAAAUUUGGACAAUUAGGCUCAACAGCGAAAACUUGAAAAAUCUGAAAUGAAGCUGUAAACUGAGAACUGAAAGCAAAGAAGACAAAAAAAGUUGAAAAAAACAA